GACGAACGCUGGCGGCGUGCUUAACACAUGCAAGUCGAACGGAAAGGCCCUGCUUUUGUGGGGUGCUCGAGUGGCGAACGGGUGAGGAACACGUGUGUAACCUGCCCUUGACUUUGGGAUAACUUCAGGUAACUGGGGCUAAUACCGGAUAGGAGCUCCUGCUGCGUGGUGGGGGUUGGAAAGUUUCGGCGGUAGGGGAUGGACUCGCGGCUUAUCAGCUUGUUGGUUGGGUAGUGGCAUACCCAGGGUUUGACGGGUAGGCGGCCUGAGAGGGGGGACGGCGACAUGGGGACUGAGAUACGGCCCAGACUCCUACGGGAGGCAGCAGGGGGGAAUAUGGCACAAUGGGCGGGAGCCUGAUGCGACAACGCCGCGGGCGGGAUGACGGCCUUCGGGUUGUAAACCGCUUUCGCCUGUGACGCAGCGUGAGUGACGGUAAUGGGUAAAGAAGCACCGGCUAACUACGUG
rnacentral:rRNA from 1 species